ACUCAGUUGGUAGAGUGCUUGCCUCACAAGCACAAGGCCCUGGGUUCAAACCCCAG
rnacentral:tRNA from 1 species